AGGACAAACGCUGGCGGCGUACCUAAGACAUGCAAGUCGAACGAGGUUUCCGGCUUCGGUUGGGAAGCGAGUGGCGAACGGGUGAGUAACACGUAGGAACCUGUCAUUCAGUGGGGGAUACCGCUGGGAAACCGGCGCUAAUACCGCAUACGGUCCCGGAAACGGGAGCAAAGCCUUUCGAGGCGCUGAAUGAGGGGCCUGUGGCCGAUUAGCUCGUUGGUGGGGUAAAGGCCUACCAAGGCGACGAUCGGUAGCUGGUCUGAGAGGAUGGUCAGCCACACUGGGACUGAGACACGGCCCAGACUCCUACGGGAGGCAGCAGUUAGGAAUUUUCACAAUGGGGAAACCCUGAUGGAGUAACGCCGCGUGGAGGAUGACGGCCUUCGGUUGUAAACUCCUUUCUGUGGGAAGAGUAGAAGACGGUACCACAGGAAGAAGACAUCGGCUAACUACGUGCCAGCAGCCGC
rnacentral:rRNA from 1 species